rnacentral:rRNA from 1 species
AGAGUUUGAUCCUGGCUCAGGAUGAACGCUGGCGGCGUGCCUAACACAUGCAAGUCGAACGGGAGAACAGAAGCUUGCGUUUCUUAUCGAAGGCCGACCGGGAAUGAACGACUGGAUAAUCUGCCCUGCGCGAGGGGAUAAGAGCCGGAGGACGCUGCUAAUACCGCAGAGACUGAGCUUUCUCAUGAGAGAACACGGAAAGAUUUAUCGGUGUAAGAUGAAUCCGCGUCCAAUUAGCUAGUUGGAGGGGUAACGGCCCACCAAGGCGACGAUCGGUAGCCGGCCUGAGAGGGCGACCGGCCACAUUGGGACUGACACACGGCCCAUACUCCUGCGGGAGGAAGCAGUGGGGAAUAUUGCACAAUGGGGGGAACCCUGAUGCAGCGACGCCGCGUGAGUGAAGAAGUAUUUCGGUAUGUAAAGCUCUACCAGCAGGGACGAAGGUGACGGUACCUGCAGAAGAAGCCCCGGCUAACUACGUGCCAGCAGCCGCGGUAAUACGUAGGGGGCAAGCGUUAUCCGGAUUUACUGGGUGUAAAGGGAGCGUAGACGGCAGGGCAAGCCACAAGUGAAAACGCAGAGCUUAACUUUGCGACUGCUUUUGGAACUGCCCAGCUAGAGUACAGGAGAGGUAAGUGGAAUUCCUAGUGUAGCGGUGAAAUGCGUAGAUAUUAAGAGGAACACCAGUGGGAAAAGCGGCUUACUGGACUGAGACUGACUUUGAAGCUCCAAAACCUGGGGGACCAAAAAGGAUUAAGAACCCCUGGGAAUCCACGCUGUUAAACAAUGAAUCCUAGGAGGUGGGGGGCGAAAGCCUCCGGGGGCCCCACCAAACCCCAGAAAGUAUUCCACCCUGGGGGAGGACGUUUCCCCAAGAAUGAAA